rnacentral:rRNA from 1 species
UACAGAGGUCUCAAGCGUUGUUCGGAUUCAUUGGGCGUAAAGGGUGCGUAGGCGGCGCGGUAAGUCGGGUGUGAAAUCUCGGAGCUUAACUCCGAAACUGCAUUCGAUACUGCCGUGCUUGAGGACUGGAGAGGAGACUGGAAUUUACGGUGUAGCGGUGAAAUGCGUAGAUAUUAGGAAGAACACCGGUGGCGAAGGCGGCCCACUGGAUCGGCACUGACGCUGAGGUGCGAAAGCGUGGGGAGCAAACAGG